CUGGGCCAAUCACUGCUAUCUCCCAAGAUACCCUGGUUGAAAGAUGUUUGGGAAAGGUUUCAAGUACUAUCUGGAGUAAAAGGUGUUACUGUUGGGAUACAUGACAAUGAGCUUCUACGGUCAGAUAUUCAUUUGAGUUUGAACUUGGGAUACGUGUUGAGAAAACCAGUUCUGCUCAAUUUUUAAAUCCUAGGACACUCGAAUAAUAUUCCAUUGUCUGGAUGUGCCACACAGUUUGUUUAUUUAUUCACCUAUUGAAAGACAUC
ensembl:lncRNA novel transcript